rnacentral:snRNA from 1 species
GUAUGUGAGGAUGAUCUGGCUGCAACAUCUGUCACCCCAUGGAUCACCAGGGUUGAUUCAGCUGAUCUGGCUGGCUAGACAAGUGUCUGCUUUCUCCCUCACUGCUCCAUGUGCAUCCCGCCUGAAGCUGUGUGCUUGGUCGAAGAGGAGACUAUCCUGAUAGAGGAGGACCAUUCUUCUGUCAAGGGUAUAUGACUAGCUGUGCUCCCCUGCUAGAACCUCCAAACAAGUUCUCAAGAAAAUAUGGUACUUAUACACAAUGGAAUUUUACUCAGCCAUGAAGAAGAAUGAAAUCUUAUCAU